rnacentral:rRNA from 1 species
UACGUAGGGUGCGAGCGUUGUCCGGAAUUAUUGGGCGUAAAGAGCUCGUAGGCGGUUUGUCGCGUCUGCCGUGAAAGUCCGGGGCUCAACUCCGGAUCUGCGGUGGGUACGGGCAGACUAGAGUGAUGUAGGGGAGACUGGAAUUCCUGGUGUAGCGGUGAAAUGCGCAGAUGUCAGGAGGAACACCGAUGGCGAAGGCAGGUCUCUGGGCAUUAACUGACGCUGAGGAGCGAAAGCAUGGGGAGCGAACAGG